GAUGAACGCUAGCGGCAGGCUUAACACAUGCAAGUCGAGGGGUAACAGAAUAGCUUGCUAUUGCUGACGACCGGCGCACGGGUGCGUAACGCGUAUACAAUCUACCUCUUACUGUGGGAUAGCCCAGAGAAAUUUGGAUUAAGACCACAUAGUAUCAUAUUACGGCAUCGUAUUUAUGAUUAAAGGUUACGGUAGGAGAUGAGUAUGCGUCCUAUUAGUUUGUUGGUAAGGUAACGACUUACCAAGACUACGAUAGGUAGGGGCCCUGAGAGGGGGAUCCCCCACACUGGUACUGAGACACGGACCAG
rnacentral:rRNA from 1 species